rnacentral:lncRNA from 1 species
AGAAGUCUUGCAAAUAAGCCAUGGUACAAGCAACAAGAGAGGAUACUUUUGUGUGUGAGUGUGAGUUCAGAAAAGACUCGAGUAUUGGUACUUUUUAAUAAAAAAGAGCUAGUAUUUAUAGUGUGAGAAACAUGCAGAAAUAAAGUAAGGACUGUAAGUCAGACAUAAUUAAGGAAUAUGUGUCCAUUAAAAUCAAAUAAGUAUCAAAG